AACGAACGCUGGCGGCAUGCCUAACACAUGCAAGUCGAACGAGACCUUCGGGUCUAGUGGCGCACGGGUGCGUAACGCGUGGGAAUCUACCCUUGGGUUCGGAAUAACAGUUAGAGAUGACUGCUAAUACCGGAUGAUGACGUAAGUCCAAAGAUUUAUCGCCCAAGGAUGAGCCCGCGUAAGAUUAGCUUGUUGGUGGGGUAAUGGCCUACCAAGGCGACGAUCUUUAGCUGGUCUGAGAGGAUGAUCAGCCACACUGGGACUGAGACACGGCCCAGACUCCUACGGGAGGCAGCAGUGGGGAAUAUUGGACAAUGGGCGAAGGCCUGAUCCAGCAAUGCCGCGUGAGUGAUGAAGGCCUUAGGGUUGUAAAGCUCUUUUACCAGGGAUGAUAAUGACAGUACCUGGAGAAUAAGCUCCGGCUAACUCCGUGCCAGCAGCCGCGGUAA
rnacentral:rRNA from 1 species